GAUGAACGCUGGCGGCGUGCUUAACACAUGCAAGUCGAACGGAAAGGCUCCUGCUUGCAGGGGUACUCGAGUGGCGAACGGGUGAGUAACACGUGGUGAUCUGCCCUGCACUUCGGGAUAAGCCUGGGAAACUGGGUCUAAUACCGGAUAGGACGAUGGUUUGGAUGCCAUUGUGGAAAGUUUUUCGGUGUGGGAUGAGCUCGCGGCCUAUCAGCUUGUUGGUGGGGUAAUGGCCUACCAAGGCGUCGACGGGUAGCCGGCCUGAGAGGGUGUACGGCCACAUUGGGACUGAGAUACGGCCCAGACUCCUACGGGAGGCAGCAGUGGGGAAUAUUGCACAAUGGGCGCAAGCCUGAUGCAGCGACGCCGCGUGGGGGAUGACGGCCUUCGGGUUGUAAACUCCUUUCGCUAGGGACGAAGCGUUUUGUGACGGUACCUGGAGAAGAAGCACCGGCUAACUACGUG
rnacentral:rRNA from 1 species